rnacentral:rRNA from 1 species
AGAGUUUGAUCAUGGCUCAGAGCGAACGCUGGCGGCGUACUUAACACAUGCAAGUCGAACGAGGAGCUUCGGUGUAGCAAUACAUCGCAGCUUCGAGUGGCGCACGGGUGAGUAACACGUGGGCAACCUGCCCUUGAGACCGGGAUACCCCCUCGAAAGGGGGGCUAAUACUGGAUACGCUCUUCGGGUCGCAAGACCGGGGGAGGAAAGGUGGCGAAAGCUGCCGCUCUUGGAGGGGCUCGCGGCCUAUCAGCUAGUUGGUGGGGUCACGGCUCACCAAGGCGAUGACGGGUAGCUGGUCUGAGAGGACGACCAGCCACACGGGGACUGAGACACGGCCCCGACUCCUACGGGAGGCAGCAGUGGGGAAUUUUCCGCAAUGGGCGCAAGCCUGACGGAGUGACGCCGCGUGGGGGACGAAGGCCUUCGGGUCGUAAACCCCUGUCAGAGGGAAAGAAGGGCCGCGUGGUAAAUAGCCGCGUGGUUUGACGGUACCUUCAGAGGAAGCCCCGGCCAACUCUGUGCCAGCAGCCGCGGUAAGACAGAGGGGGCAAGCGUUGCUCGGAAUCACUGGGCGUAAAGGGCGCGUAGGCGGGAUGGCAAGUCGGUCGUGAAAUCCCUCGGCUCAACCGAGGAGCGUCGGCCGAUACUGCCGUUCUUGAGGGAUGCAGAGGAGACUGGAAUUCCCGGUGUAGCGGUGAAAUGUGUAGAGAUCGGGAGGAACACCGGUGGCGAAGGCGGGUCUCUGGGCAUUUCCUGACGCUGAGGCGCGAAAGCGUGGGGAGCAAACGGGAUUAGAUACCCCAGUAGUCC